rnacentral:lncRNA from 1 species
AAAUCCUGCAACUUCAUGCAGUUGCUUCUCCCUUUUCUCUGCAUCCCCUGUGUCCUGGUGGUGUGCAACUGUACCCAGGGCCCCCAACACACUAGAUAUUGACACACCCUAAUGGUGUUCAGCUGGAUGGUGGCCAGCCCAGAUGAGAAUUGGAGGUCAGUGGCACCAUGCAUUUGGCCCAUGAUGUUUGAGGGAUUGCAGAAGAUAAGGGGAGGUCCACAAGUGAUUUUACCUUCAAGAGAGUUGAGGGAAGAUGGGCACUCAGAGGAAGGCUGAACCUAAGGUAGAGGGGGAGGGGCCACACUGCCAUACCAGGACACAUGUCUGGUUUUAUCUCAUUGCCAGGCACACACCUUGGUGCAUGACAGUCUCUGUGAAUGUCUUAACAAAGGAAGACAAGGUCAUACUAGCCCCCAAACACACCUAGGCCAGCUGAUGACAUGUGACCAACGGACUAAAACCAGCCUCUCUUUCCCUCUUAUGACACUUCCCUCACAUGGCCCAUCCCCAAACCACACAAAAGCUGCCACAGCUGCAGAAUCAGAUACCUUUCCAACUGCUCUUGUCCUGCUGGGUGGCAACUAGACUGUGGUGACUGCCAGGGGAUGUUCGUGCCUGGUGACCCCCUAAAACAGCUGCAGGUGGACCAUACAAGGAGAGACAGAAGUAGAUGAGGAGGGGAACAAUACAAUGGAAUGAGGACCUGUGAUGGCUAGGGCAACUGGAUCUUUAGAUCUUUGGCUGGUAACAAAGAUGUUUUAUCCAUAUCAAGGCUUUAGCCAACUCUCCCUAUCCUCAGCAACUGAGUUGUAAUGAAGUAGUGAGAACCCUGAAGCUCUGGAAGGAGAGUGUGCGAAUGGGUGCUCCCUGGCUCAAAAGUGAGCCUCUGGAAAAGGCACUGGAGAAACUGGUCAGUCUGGGUAGAGGUAGUUAGCAAGAAAGCUAUGGCAUUUCCAAGUGACAUCACAGGUAGUGUCUUCCCUGGAAAUUCUCUUGUAUCCAGGAGAACACUAGAAUCUUCUGUGAUGUCACCAGUGUUGUGGUGACACCAACUACCUGUGCCUAUCCCUUCAGUGCCUAAUGGUUUCAGAAGCAGGCAUGUUCUCAAGGCUGCUCAGUCUAUUUCAGAGGGACAAUCAUAUACGUGCAGAGACCAGACCAAGGCAGAAGGAGGCCAGACUUCUAUCAUGUUGGAGAAUAAGACGAAUGGAAUGAUCCUGGAGAAGGUGAAUUCCAAAGUCUUUAUCGUUUUAGAAAAGAUGAUCCAUCCAGUCAGUGGGAUGAAGAGCCGUGUCCCAGAGCCCCAUCAGUAGUGCUGAAGAGGACUCUGGUUUCUCCAUGUCUACCUGUACACACAGUCAUGAGGACCAGACUUCUAGUCAAUCAGUCUCUCGGGCUUAAACUAUAGAUCGAUCUCUUUCUUAGCACUCUCCACUGAAUCACUGCCAUGAAUGAUGUUCUUGCCAACCAGAAUGCAGAAAUCCCCACAAAUGGUGCCUGGUUUCGAAACAGCUGGAUCGGUUUGCCCCCGCAUCACCUGUUUUCACCACAUUGAGCCCCUCCCACACCACUGCCGCUAUAGGCCCUGAGUUCAUGUACUUCUCUAGCCUAGAGAAGAAAGGACGGUUUUCAGGCCAGUGUACUGCUGCUUCAGGUGUUCUUCAGAAGCCCGAAGGAAGUUCAUGGCGGCCAGGCAGAACCCCUCCUUCUGGAAUCCUUUGAUGAUCUCGCUCAUCAGGUGGCGCUGCACCCCAUCUGGCUUGAUGGCAAGGAAGAUAAGCUCGAAGUUGGUCACAGUCCGAAAGCUGGUGGGUGGGCUGGUGCCUGCUAUGAGCAAUGGAAGCAAAAAGACUAGAACGACCACCAGCCAGCGUGGGGAGAGGGCACUGAUCUAUUUAUUUUAUUGUUUUGAAGUAGAGUCCCUUUUGCCCAACUUGAAUCUUGGGUUUCAGUGACUCUUCUCUUUCAAUGUUCUGAG